rnacentral:rRNA from 1 species
ACGGGAGGCAGCAGUGGGGAAUAUUGGGCAAUGGGCGAAAGCCUGACCCAGCAACGCCGCGUGAAGGAAGAAGGUCUUCGGAUUGUAAACUUCUUUUAUCAGGGACGAAGAAAGUGACGGUACCUGAUGAAUAAGCCACGGCUAACUACGUGCCAGCAGUCGCGGUAAUACGUAGGUGGCAAGCGUUAUCCGGAUUUACUGGGUGUAAAGGGCGCGUAGGCGGGGAUGCAAGUCAGAUGUGAAAUCCAUGGGCUCAACCCGUGAACUGCAUUUGAAACUGUAUCUCUUGAGCGUCGGAGAGGUAGACGGAAUUCCUAGUGUAGCGGUGAAAUGCGUAGAUAUAAGGAAGAACACCAGUGGCGAAGGCGAUCUACUGGACAGUAACUGACGCUGAGGCGCGAGAGCGUGGGGAGCAAACAGGAUUAGAUACCCUGGUA